rnacentral:rRNA from 1 species
UUAGGGCAAGUCUGGUGCCAGCAGCCGCGGUAAUUCCAGCUCCAAUAGCGUAUAUUAAAGUUGUUGCAGUUAAAAAGCUCGUAGUUGAAUUUCGGGAUCAGUACGCCGGUCGUGCCUUCGGUAUGCACUGGUGUCACUGGUUUCUCCCUUCUGAAGAAUCAUCAUGCCAUUCAGUUGGUGUGGCGGGGAAUCAGGACUGUUACUUUGAAAAAAUUAGAGUGUUUAAAGCAGGCUCGCGCUUGAAUACAUUAGCAUGGAAUAAUGAAAUAGGACGUUUGACCCUAUUUUGUUGGUUUCUAGGAUCGACGUAAUGAUUAAUAGGGAUAGUUGGGGGCAUUAGUAUUCAAUUGUCAGAGGUGAAAUUCUUGGAUUUAUUGAAGACUAACUACUGCGAAAGCAUUUGCCAAGGAUGUUUUCAUUAAUCAGGAACGAAAGUUAGGGGAUCGAAGACGAUCAGAUACCGUCGUAGUCUUAACCAUAAACUAUGCCGACUAGGGAUCGGAUGAUGUUAAUUUUUUAAUGACUCAUUCGGCGCCUUACGGGAAAC